rnacentral:tRNA from 1 species
GGGAAAGUGGCUCAGUGGUAGAGUCUUGCCUCGCAUGCAAGAGGCCCUGAGUUUGAUUCCUCAGCACCA